AGUUUCCCAGUGACAGCUGUUGGCAUGGCACCUCCCCGUGAAGAGCGUCCCCUGGCACCAUCUCAGGGCAGCUCUGUGCUUCAGGGAACUCCACCAUCCAGUGAGCCAGGAGGUCUGGACCACAGCCUUGGGGUUAUGUCACUUCUUUACACUUAUUCCUGGCCAGGCUGGUCUCAAACUCCUGACCUCAGGUGAUCCACCCACCUCGGCGCCCGAAAGUGUUGGCAUUACAGGCAUGACCCACCACACCCGGCUUCUCCUAUGCACUCUUGAGAGUCUUCUUUACUCCUCAUGAGCCACUUUCCCAUUACAUGAUUCCCCCACUAUAGUUAAUAAUUCUUUAUAUUAAAACUUUCCCUAUUCAAAUUACUGUGUAGUUUCUGUCUCCUGAUUAGACCCUGACUAAACACAUCUAUGCAGAAGGUAAAAACUCUGGAAGAAUCUGCAAAGGAAGAUAAAGAAAAACUGAUGCAGAUGUGAUAGAAUAAAGUGGAGGUGGGAAAAAGUAAGAACAAGACUCUAAAUCCGAAGAAAAGAAGCUGAAAAGACUGAGAUUGGAGCUUAUGAAAGAUAUUAAACCAACUGAGCAGAAACCAUCAGCAGAAACAGAUGAAGUGAAAAGCCAGACACAAAAACGCUGGUCUCCAACUCCUGGCCUCAAGAAAUCCUCCUACCUCAAGCCUCCCAACAUGCUGGGAUUACUGACAUAAGCAAUCACUACACACAGACUAAAAAGUGGCUUUUUAAUUGAAAAACAUUUCACAUUCUUAGUGUAAAAUCAGUCAUGUGUAUAAAAAUUUUAAAGCCCCCAAAAUGGGGAAAGGAAGGAUGCUAGAAAGACCAAACAGAGGCACGCCCUGUGGUGAGAGCAGCCUGGAUAUGCGCUGACGGAGAAGUGGCUGACAGUCCACACAGGCACCGGUAAAGGACUGGGACUGCAGACACACUGGAAACCAGCUGGAAAGUGGAUUACGGUAACUCCUUCUCAAGCAGGGAAGACUCGCAUUAGACUAAAUGGCAAUCGUUCAGGAGGAGAAGAAAAGGAACCUAGUGACUUUUAUUUCUCUCAUCUUAAAAAGUUAAGUUGAUACCAUAAUAUUUGUGUGUAUUUACAAGGAACAUGAGAUAUUUAGAUGCAUGCAUACAAUGUGUAAUGGUAAAUCAGGGCAUUUAGAAUACCCGCUGAUUGAACAUUUAUCACUUCUUUGUGUUGGGAACACUUAAAUCUCUCCCAGCUAUUUGGAAGCACACAGUAUGUUAACCAGAGCCACGCCACUGUGCUGCUGAACACUGGAACUUACUCCUUCUAACUGGAUGGCUGUUCCCAUGAACGACCUCUCUUUACGCCCCAGCCUCUGCAACUGUCACUCUCUUCUCCAACUCCAUGAGAUCAACUUUUUUAGCUCCCACAUAUGAGUGAGAACAUGGGAACUCAUGUAAUAUUUGUCUUUAUUUCUCUAAAUGUGGAUCUAAUCUUACAUAAUGAUUUCAAAUUCUAUCCUGACAAUAUUAACAGUUUUAAUAAAAAGUUCUCAGUUU